ACCAAAGUAGCUCAGUUGGGAGAACGUUAGACUAUAGAUCGAAAGGUCCCUGGUUCGAUCCCGGGAUUCGGCA
rnacentral:tRNA from 1 species